CUGAGCUUUGAGACCAGGCAAACGGUUUUAGUGCCGGCUGUGACUCUCACUAGCCCUGUACUCUUGUUGAGACUCCUUUUCCCUUUACUGUUAGAAUGAGAAACUCAAGGAAAUGAUUCACAUAAAUGACUUAGCACAACGCUGGUACACCCCAGGAUCUACUAUGCUCUAGUGAGUCACUGAAUAAAGAAAGCGAAAUCAGGAACUUUAGUCUUAAGGGAAGAAACGAUGAACUUUCUAAUGUAAAUUGUCUGGUGAGAGACUGAAGAGCUUCUAGAACAAAUGAAGACUAUCCUUAUUUCUACUUGUAAAAACAAAUUCUCUCUUUUCAUAGUAGAAAUGUCCUUGGAUAAAACCAUGAAAGAGACUUGAUUGGGAUGUUUAUUAUUCUGCCUUCUUCUCACUUAGUUGUUAAAUGUGAACUAAGAUUCCUCAAAUAGCCUUCAGUAAAGCCUAUGUUAGUAGAUUAUGAUAUGGAUUGUUGACGAGAUAUGUUAGUCUGGAAUGGUGUGUUGCAAACUCUUUAGGACCCAGUGAGUCUAUGGACAAAGUAUGGACAAAAUUUGGACAGCUUCUGUCCAGGUAAAUGUGACUAAACUAAAUGGAACCUUUGUAGAACCAAGGAAAUAAGAAAAUACUUGCAUGUGGGAACUCAUUGGCUCACAUGCCUGAAAUCUGAGUCAGACUUCCCUUGAUGCUAGCGUUAUGGAAGAAGAAUUUCCUCCCCCCUAUCCAUCCCAGGGCCAGAUUUAUUAUUUAUUACUACUUCUUUCCAUUUUUAGCUUCCUUUGUCAUGCGAAGGUAGUCAUAAGGGAAUUCCAUAUUUUGCUAUUUUGAGUAGAUUUCAAAGUCAAAAAAAUGAUGGCAGUUUGGCCUUUAAUAUAAUGGUCCUUUCUAGAAUUACAUAAACUCAAUACUAACUUCUACUUCCUGAAAUUGCUCUUUCUCCCUGUUCACUGUUCACUCAUUGGACAAACAUUGAUUCGCAGGAAUCACAGAGUGAACAAGACCAAAACAGUCCUUGUUUCAUUGUAAGUUACAGGGUUGGUCCUAGAUUCAGAUUCUAUGCGACAUCCUUUAGCCUUGCCUUUCUAGAAGAGGGUACAUUCUCAAAUGGAUUUGUUUGCACAGUUGCAGUACCUUUGCCAGCAACUCCUGGAACAAACUUCUUGCUUGAAUUAACAUCCAGGUAGACACUGGAACCAUUCAUUCCCCCAUAACUCCAAUACGGGACCUGGAACUGAGCUCUCUUGAUCCCAGUUGGUCUGACAGGUCAUGGGCCAGCUCCUAACCCAUGAUCCAGAGCCAUAAGACAUGUGGUGUGUUUAAACCAACCAGAGCUCCUUCUUACAACCGGUCAGAGGCUGUUGCAUAGAACGGAUGCUAUAAGGAAUGAGAUACGUCUACUCAAAUCCCUGUCCUUGCAGAGUCGGUAGUCUCUGAAGAGCUGGCAGGAUAAUGGGACGUCGCAUACACAUGAAUCAUUUUUGAGAGAUGAGGUUAACAAGUGUGUAGCCCUGGGAAUCUUCCCAUAGCAACAGGAUGCAGGCUGAACAUUCUGUUAGAAACCACCACUGAGCAGCCACCAUAUGCUCCAAACCGCCGGCCUCUGGCAAUGAUUUAGAGGUGAAACCUUUUGUGUCCAAUUAGCUUCCACUUUGAUUCAUGCCAUGCCUGAGAAUUCAUCUGGAUUUAUAAAGUUCAGGAUUUUCGAUAAAUUUGACAAGAGCUGCUGAAAGUUAAAAUGUUUGCAAGGAUGUUCAUUUCUUGAUUAAUCACAAUAUAAUUUUCCCCACGUAGAGCUGGCUAGAAAAAAACUGAAAAUCGGAGACUCAGUCCAAGCCUCAUUUUAGCAGAAAUAUUCCCUCUUCACCUUGCUUUCUACUUUGAGUGUGCAGGGUUUGGUUCUAGCUUCACAUGUAAUACCUCAUCAUCCAUCUAAUGGUCUGAGUUAGUGCUCUCAACCUAGGCUGUGCAAUGGAACCACUCAGGUGGUGUUGGGAAACAGCAAUGCCUGGGUCUCCACAGGUUCUGUUGUCAUGGGACCAGGGUGCAGCGAAGGGUAAGAAUCUGUGCUUAAGUAGAACCUUAGGAGAGAUGAUGUAUCUCCUAGGAAAUGCAUCCAACUUGUGCACACAACACAACUCAGUUAAAUUCUGCAGCCUGAUCGGUUCGGAAACAAUUAAGGUCACUUCAGGAUCAAAUUAAAUUCAGAAAUAAGAAGGAAAGUUCUCCACAUCAACAGCCAGCUGCCUAUCUGUGCAUGCUUUUGCCCCCACCUCGUACACAUCUCCCACGUCUCUGCUGCCACCACCUGGUCGAAUUCACCUUUUCCCUGGGCUUCCAAGCUAUAAAAACAGGAGCUUUCCAGACUGCUGCCUGUCCACUCACCAGCCUUCACCAUGCUGCAACCAUUCUGACCUUUCUUUUCCAACUCAGGACUUCUAGCCGUAUUGCUCUCUCUGCCUAAAUGUUCUAACACAUGGCCUCUUCCCACUGCACACACCAACACUCUCUGCCUUCCUCACUCUACUCGUUGGUCUGGGCUUAGCUUACAUGUCACUUUCUCAGAGUUUCUCCCUGACCCAUAAUCUAAAUAGAGCCUCCUGUUUUAUACUCUCUUGCAUGCCUUUUUUUAAAUUUUUAUUUUAUUUGAAAAUGAGAGGUAGAGAGAGAGAAAGAAUGAGAGGGAAAGAAGGAGAUGGAAAAAAAACGAGAGAUCUUUCAUCCACUGGUUCAUUCCCCAAACGCUCACAACAGCUGGAGUGGGCCAGGUAGAAGCCAGGAGCCCAGAACCCAACACUUGAACCUGCUAUUUCCCAGCAUGCACCUUAGCAGGAAGCUAGAACCAGAAACAGAGCUGAGACUAAAGCCCAGGCACUCUGACAUGGGCUGCAGGCAAGCAGCAUCUUAACUGCUGUACCAAACACACUAGAGAGGAGUUGUUGGUACAAUAUCUGGCUCCCCUUUCUAACUAUCAGCUUCCUGAAGGCAAGAACAAUUCUGUUUUGCUCAUUCAUGUAUACCCUAGCACCCAGCUUACAUCUGUCCCGUAGUCUGUGUUCAAUACUAACUCGGUGUAAAUGAAAGGAGUGUGUUCUGCUGGACCACUUACGUACACUGAGGAACACCAUAGAAAUAGCUCCCAAAGCAUAGAGUCAUCUACCUAGGAUGAAGUUAGAACCCUGUUCUCUGCGUUAUGUACAUGUUCUCAUCAUAAAUUCACAGUUUUUCCCACAGUCUCAAUUCUAGGAGUAUUUAUGUUUUUCUUGAGUACCAGUUGGUGUUUUGCCACUGUAUGCCAUAAAUCACUAGAUGCUUGGUCCUGUGAUUCUAUAAAUCAUUAACCAAGUAGGCCUCCCUCUUUGUUCUGAUUGAUGAAAAAGCUCAGAGCCAAGUCCAUGGCUCUAACCAACCCCAGUCACUGACCUGACCAGAAAAGACCCUUCAUGAGUCAACACCACUCCAGCUCCACCUCACCAAUGCAGGCCUCAUUUUCCCUCUUAGUAUAUGAACAAACAUAUAUAUGAGCAAACAUACAAACAUACAUAUAUGUGAGCCCUGACCAAGAAAAUAGAUAAUGAAUUCGUUCAGGAAAAGAGAAAAAACAUCUCUGUGAUGAGUUGUGCUUCAGGGGAGGGGAUAAAUAGCACCUCCUUCCCUGGCGUGCACAAGGAAACAAGAGUUAAACAGAAAAAGAGCAGAAAGGGCUAGGGCACAAGGACAACAGUGGCUUCCACUCAUGGCAAAGACAUCCAAAUGCAAAGGCCUUCGGGAGUGGGAGUGCACAGAGUGUCUGCCUCUAAGAUGCCGCAAUCUCUCUGCAUACAGAUGCCAAAGAUUAAAGGUUGAGCUAUGUGAGCCCCUUUCACUGCCCCCACAUUUACCUAUCAGAUAAUUUCUUCUGCUCCCCCCAGGAACGAGCAGGCCAAAGAGGGUUAGCCCUACCUAAGUGAUGCCCUUCACAAGGAAGCAUUAAAUCAUGGCAAAGGAUGUCCUCUCCCUCUAAAUAUCGCUGCCAUCGUCACGUUUAUUUGAGCUCCUAAGCAAGUAUUUUAUACCACCGUACUAGCUCCUUGUUACUGCUGAAACAAAUUACCACAAACGUACAACCUUUCAGUUCUGGAAGCCGGAAGUGCAAAGAUGUCUCCUGGCUAGGCCAAGAUGCAGGGGCCAGCAGAUCUGCGUUCCUGCAGGGUGGGAGAAGGCCCAUGCCAGGCUUUGCCAGUUUCUGCUGCCCGUGUUCCCUCUGCAUCACUCCCAUCUCUGUUUCUAUUCUGAUCUCGUCUUCUCUGAGUCUCCCGCCUCCCUCAUUCUCUUAGGGUGCCCUUGGGAUUCCAUUAAGCUCCCCAGGUAAUCCAGGAUCUUCUCCCAAACCCCAAAUCCUUAACUCAGCUGCACCUGACGAUUAAGCCCCUUUAGCCAUAUAAGGUAAUAUAUAGACCACUUUCAGGAAUUGGGAGGGGGUGCCUCUAGGGAACCCUUAUCCUAGCUAAUAAUUAGGUAAAUAAUUCUCAAGUUAUUAAUUGGAAGUCUGUGGCUAUGUCAAGGUAUGAAUUUGGGAUUUGAUUAAAAUCAUAUCAAAGAACUCUUCACAGUACAGGAGUACCACCCAAACUAGGUCAUGAACUCAAACAGCUGAGCCCAAGGUUGUGACAUAUGACAUUUUUCACCCCGGGAAAAGAGCUGAGAUAUGGUUCCAAAAGCUGAUUGACACCCUCAGGGAAACCUCACUGCCUCCUGUCAACAGCUAUUUGGGAAGGGAUUUGGGGAAAAUUUUUCUGACUCUCCUACUAGCUCUCAAAUUUUUUAAUAUACUAAUUAUUCUUCUGCUUUCCUUACUGGUUUCUUUAGGUUUGUAAUUUUUUUUCUUUUGCUUUGAUAUUUUAUCUAUUUUUUAAUUGACACAAAAUUAUUACAUGUUUAUGGGGUACAGAGUGUGAUAAUUCAGUACAUGUAUACAAUGCAUAAUUAUCAAAUCAGGGUAACCAGAGGCUAGCACAUUGGCAGAGCAGGUAGAGCCGCCACCUGCAGUUCUGGCGUCUCGUGUGGGCGCCGGUUUGAGUCCCGGUUGCUUCACUUCUGGUCCAGCUCUCCGAAUGGGAGACCAAGAGGAAGCACCUCGCUCCCGGCUUCAGAUUGGCGCAGUUCCAGCCAUAGUGACCAUUUGGGAUUGAACCAACAGAAGGAAGACCUUUCUCUCUGUCUCUCUCUCUCUCACUGUCUAUAACUCUACCUGUCAAAAAAUGUUUUAAAAAGUGGUGUAUUAAAGGUGGUGUAUUAAAGUCUUAAAAAAAAAAAAGAAAACCAGAACCAAUUGAUCUUGAAGAGUAGAAUAGUGAUUACUGGAGGCUAGAAAGGGCCAGCAGGAAUGUGUAGAGGGAGGUUGGCUAACAGGCACCAAAACACAGCAGGAGAGGAGGCACAGGUCUGGCGUUCCACAGCACAGACGCAUAACUGCAGGUCACCAUAACCCUCCCUUGCUUUUCUUAUAAACUCUGAAAGGUCACGGUCUCUAUCACUCUCAAGGUGAAUGCCCUUCAGAGUCCAGGGUCCUGUACCACAAAAGGUCACUCAGUAGCUACAUAUUUGCUAUUAAACGUAGCCCCAGGCUGUCAUCGGCCAGCAUGUUCCACCCAUAGCCCCAUCUGGCAAAGCACACUUCCCUGAGUACCUUGAAUGCCGUAGUGCUUAGAUAAUACUGAAGUCAUAUUUUUUUAGUACUUUCUUUUCUUCCUUUAGGCCACAUGUCCUUUUUGACUGUCUCUACUACCCUCCAGAAUUUCCACUUUGAGAUGGGGAUCCACUUUCCGACGUGUAGGGUUAUAACUCCUUCUGAGAUCAUAGGAUUGAAAACCUUACAAAAAACACACCUUGCAAAGGGCUGGGAGACUUGGUCCUUUUAAGACACAGUCUAAAAAAAUGAAACUUUUGCCAUGCACGGAAGGGUCAAACCACCUGAGAGUUGUUUUUUUAAAGUCUGGAUUUGUCUCAGGAGGCACCAUCGGUGUUCAUUUACCCUCAGUAGUUCUUUUUGUAGGUCUAGAAUAAAAUGAGCAGACGUGUUGUGCUGUUUUUCUCUCUGCUUGUUGGCAGGGAAGUCGGUUUGGAAGCCCAGUGGCUGCAGUGCCCGUGCUGAGUCCUCCAGUGCUGCCCCACAUGGUGGUAGCUAGAAUGAUGGUGGAGCCAGUCCCUGGAAGAGGUUGGGGUUAAGGGCUUGGGCUGCUUCCUCCCAGCCCUGAAACUGAAAACUCCAAUGGUUGCUUUACAUCACCCCAGACCGGCUCAGAGCUACUUCGUCUGGAAAGAAGCCAAAUACUCCAUCACUGUCUACCUUGGAGCAUGCCCAAGCCAUGGGCUCAGUAGCCUUCCUUGUUUUCUAGAAUUGAUUGGUUUCGAUUCAACAACUGUGUGUCCUGGCGUCCACACCAGAAAGUAUCACCAGGACCUUCUGCUGUGACUUCCUGAGUGCUGGGAAAGCUGUAAGAGCCCACUCACUCCCUCUGGCCUCCCAGACGCUCCUGCUGCAGGCUUCGCAACCUGCUGUGGUCGCCUUUGAAAUGCUUGCCCUCCUGGAGGCCGGGAAGGGGGAGGCGCUCACGUCAGCUCUCCAUGCAUCCAGCCAAGACCCAUUGAUUGAGUAUGGUGGGCCUCCAGCUUGUCUUUGCCUGUAAGGAGCUCACAGUCCAGUUAUCAACCCUCCGUAGUACUUCAGGGUGUGAGGAGGGAGGAAGGGACAGGAAAGCAGGGUACUAACAACCAAAGCCAAAGAGGGGAACAUAGGGCAAGGGGAGCUCACACAGAGGAGAUAAGUUCGUCCAACUUGGGCUGCUCUUAAUGUGAGUACUGCAGUGGACAGAUGGGUGGACAGCAAGUGUAGCUACUUCUGCAGGUCCAAAAGCACAUUUUAAAGUUAGGUCAUAGACCUUCAUAUAGGCACUCAGAAAUCCCCAUAUUGGGUUUUUAUGGUGGUCCAAGCCACAGAAUAUAAUCUAUUGAAGACCUGCCCACACCGCUUGCCUCUCUGUGUUCUAAGACCCCCAAAUCUGGGUCCACUCAUCCAGCUUCCAACAAGCCCAUCAUCAUGCACAUUGGGAUCGUGGAAGAAAGUGGGCAUUUAUUUGCAGAGCACAGAGUAAGCAGUCAGGUUGCCAUGGCUUAAUUCCCAGGCUCCCCAAGGUGCUGGGGGUUCAGGGUUCUUACAGAUUGUUCCGCCCAUGCACAGGUCUCUGCUGGUCUGCAGGGCCCUUGGUCUUCCUUGGAGGACUCAGUGGUAUCAGGUUCAAGUUCUUUAGGGAAUUUUGAUGGUGGCAAAGUGGGCCUCAGUCAGUCUCAGGGCUACAUGCAGGUGGUAUCAACUUUUUUCUUGGGACCUGGGGUUCCUGGAAAAAACCCUCAAGACAAGGCCCAAAUCAAGGUGUUAUCUAUAGGGCAAAGAAAUGGUCUCCUGAGUCUUGUGAUCAGGACCCCUGGAGGAUUCGCUGCUCUACUCCCUCAAUUUGAUGAGUUUAGAGUAAGAGGUUCAGUUGCAAGGAAGCAUUCGGCUAUGGAAAGCGGAUGCAGACAGCAGGAGACCGGGACCCGAUGGUAUCCAGAGUCCGCAUCAAAAACAGUGGUAUAGGGGUUCAGGUUCACUUCUGUACUAUUGCUCUCAGACUUUGAGGUCUGUGUCCCCGCCGUGAUGACCCAAGGGAAGCAGACUAAAUUUGCCAAGCCGAGCUUGCUUGUUUAUCAUUUCAACACUUUCGGCUCUUCCUGGCCACCAUCCCUUUUGUGACUCAAAUCCCCACUGCAGAAACCAACAGCCCAGUCUGGAGGCUUCUUCCACGGCACACGGUGUGGCUUUGCAGAACCUAGACUGGGCUCCCUCAUUUCUGAAGACCAGGAAGGGGUCUGCCCAGCCCGUUUCUGUUCUGUGUGUCUGGUGUGGAGCAUACUAUGAUAGGCAUGUGUGCACCACCUGAGGGCCCAAAGAAACCACACUUGGCGUGGGUAUUGUGGGGACACAGGGUAAGCCACCACCUGGGAUGCUCACAUCCCAUAUCAGAGUGCCUGGGAUCAAGUCCCACCUCUGCUUCCGAUCCGACACUUAGGGAGGCAGCAGGGAAUAGCCCAAGUACUUGGAUGCCCACGUGAGAGAUUCAGAUAGUCUUUGGAUCCUGGCUUCGGCUUGGCCCAGCCCUGGCUGUUGUGGCCAUUUGGAGAGUGAACAAGCAGAUAAAUCUCGUGCCAAAGGACAAAGAGGGGCAGGCACUUGGAGGAUGCUCAGGACAAGGGGGGUGGCUGUAACCAUUCUAAUUAAAGUGCAUCAUUGGUUUCUGUUGAUUUUAGUGGGGCCUGGGAAUCUGCAUUUCUAAUAAGCUUUGAGGUGGUGCCCUUGCUGCUGGGGCAAGGCUUACGUCCCUUCCUUUAAUGUUUUAAAGUUUAUUUAUUUUGUUUUAUUUGAAAGGGAGAGAGAGAGAGAGUGAGAGGGCAAGUGAGAGAGAGAGAAAGGGCUGGUGAAAAACAGAGAGGCCGGCGCCGCUGUAGCUCACUAGGCUAAUCCUCCGCCUGCGGCGCCGGCACACCGGGUUCUAGUCCUGGUCGGGUGCCAGAUUCUGUCCCGGUUGCCCCUCUUCCAGGCCAGCUCUCUGCUGUGGCCCGGGAGUGCAGUGGAGGAUGGCCCAGGUGCUUGGGCCCUGCACCCCAUGGGAGACCAGGAGAAGCACCUGGCUCCUGGCUUCAGAUGAGAGCGGUGCGCCAGCCAUAGCUCGCUGGCCGCAGCGGUCAUUGGGGGGUGAACCAACGGCAAAGGAAGACCUUUCUCUCUGUCUCUCUCUCUCACCGUCCACUCUGCCUGGAAAGAGAGAAAGAGAGAGAGAAAGAGAGAGAGAAAGAAAGAGAGAAAGAAAGAGAGAAAGUGGAGGUAAUGCUCCCAAGCUGUGCAAAACACCAAGAAGAUGGUCUUAAGAAGCAGUCCUGUGGUUUAUGAUUUGUAGCCCCCCACCCCAGCGUCUUUAUCUUUGGAGAAAGAUGAGAAUGGUUUCUAAGUUCUUUUGCUGAUUGUUGCUGUGUUUCCUUGACUGUGAAACUACCUUGUAGCUAUACCACCUGGCUCUCUGACUUCGCCCUAGAAGUGCACAGGAGUUCUGUGAGGUUAACUGGCCAAAACCUUGCAGAACACCAUCAGCGAAACCAAGAACAGCCAGAUAGAGGCUCGGAUUGUUCAUCCUGCCACCCAGUCGCCCCGGGUGCUGAACACUGCACAGGCAUCUUUCUGGCUUCGGGUAGCAAUGCAUGCUGCAGGUUCUGAGGGUAGAACGUGCCAGGUCACUCCUUGUUGGCUUUGAAGCUCUCCGUAGUAGGACUGGCUACUAUGCACCUUAUGUGGUAGAGGCUACCUUACACAUACUGAGAAAAAUUUUAAUAUCAAAAUUACCAGGGAAAGCUGGCCUAUUUAAUGUAGAAAGAGCCCAAGAUUUGUUUUAUCUCCAAUUGCCAUAUGUAUAACCUCCUUGGAUGAUCAUAAGUAACCACCAAAUAAUAAAAUUUCUGAGUAUAUUAAGUAAAAACUAAGGUUUCUCUUCUUUUUACCUGAAAAGAACCCAUUUUUGUUAACCUGAAAAAGAACUCCUGUUCUGAUUGUGUAUCUAAAAUGAGGAAAAAAUUUUAGGACUCUGAAUUACAAAAAGAGAGAUGAGUAAGUAUAAUCUCCAGACAGCAACCACACACAAAGGUAGGAAACAGAGAAGCAUCACUUAAUGUUCUGCAAAUUAUCUUGUAAUACUUUGGAAAAGAAGUUAUUACUGAGAGCAGAAGCCCACACUCUAAAUAUUCGCUUGGCUAGUUUAUCUCACUAUGCCUAGACUUUGUCAACAAAGGGCUAUAUUUAGAAUCAAUUUACUACUGCUGUCCUUACAGAUCAUAUACUGCUUUUGGUUUACCACUAAUAUGCUCUGGCAGAGCCAGCAAUCUCGAACACACAAUAGUUUCUCGGUACCUUUGCUAAAGAAGUAUAGCUAGAGCAUUAGUGGUCCAUCAUAAUUCUCUGAAAAAGAUGGGUUUCUCUGCAAUAUACAGUUUAUAAACCUCCACCGAGGCAGACCUAUUCAUCACACAGCCACUCGUAAAAAUGCAAGCCUGGUCCUACAGCCUAAAAUAAAUCUGGAUAAGCCCAAGACAACAGCGUCAGGGGUGGACCUGGAGGCACAGUGAAUGCUGAGUCCCGGGAGGUAACGUAGAUGACAUCUAACCCAUUCCAUGCAUAAUGGCCACGAAGGCAGCACAAAAGCCACCACUGCUGAACACCAGAUGGUGAUAGUUCUGGUUCCUUAAGUGUGCAUGAUGGCAACGUGUAGAAAAAUAAAAUGUUCAAUGCACAUUUUUUGAGCAAAACUUAGAAUCUCAUCGUCUGCUUAGAUUGGGUCUUCAAUGCUUUAUCAUGUUCGUCAUUUAAAAAAUUUUUAUUUUUUUUUUUGUUUUGAGAGAGACAGACGGACAGACAUAUUCCAUGUGCUGGUUCACUCCCCAGUGCCCACUGUGGCUGGCUUUGGGACAGGCGGAAGUCAAGAGCCAGGAACUCAGUCCUGGCCUGUCACGUGGGCGGCACAAACCCGAUUACUUGAGCCAUCACUACUGCCUUCCAGAGCUGCACUGGUGGGAAGCUGCAGCCAGGAACCAGAGUUAAGCACCAAACCCAGGGCCUCCGACAGGACAGUGGCACCUUGACCACCAGGCUAAACAUCCACCCUCAUUAUUCUCUCAACGGUCCCACUGUAACAGUGCUGUGUAACCGGUGCAAACCAGUCCCCGGUUGCUGAGCCCCAAGACUGUCUCCAAUGCUAGCGACUCUAAAUCCUUAGGUGACAAACAUUCCUCUGUGCAGAUGCUGUUGUACACUUGAGUGAUUAUUCCUUGGUAGGCAUUACAGAAAUAGGAUUGCUGAGUCGGAGAUGAAAAGUAAUUCACCUUUGUGCUUUGGAUACGAUUGCCAACUGGCUUUCCAGAAAUCCCCAGCCACUCUGCAUUUCCUUAAGCAGUGUGUGAACGCCCCAUCUUCAUGAGCCAUCAGCUUUGGUCACCAUUUCCUGCAUCCCUGCCAAGAUAACUGACCAAAGACUGUAUCUUCACUAGCCAAUGCUUGCUGACCUUUUACGUUUUUUCUUGUAAAUUGUCUAUAUUUUUCUCCUUAAAAAUUUUUUUUGAAAAGACAGAGAGGAUGAACUUCCAUUCCACUGGUUCACUCCCCAAGUGCCUAUAAAGCCCAGCUUGGGCAGGGCUGAAGCUGGGAACCAGGAACUCAGUUCAGGGCCUACACAUGGAACCCAGUGACUGGUGCCAUCACUGCCACCUUCCAGGGUCUGCGUGAACCGGCGUCAGGAGCCAGAGCCAGGAAUCAGACUCAAGGCUGUCUUAACCUUUGCAGUAAAUGCCUGCCCCUUCCUGUAUUUGCAUCUAGAUUAAUCACUAUUGAUUAGAAGCACACUUAUAUAUCAAAGAUAAUGAUGUCCUUUUUCAAAAAGAUUUAUUUAUUUUUAUUUAAAAGUCAGAGCUACAGAGAGAAAGAGAGAGGGAUUGAGAGAGAUCUUCCACCCACUCAUUCACUCCCCACAUGGCUGCAACAGCCAAGGCUGGGCCAGGCUGAGGCCAGGAACCAGGAGCUUCUUCUGGGUCUCCCAGAUGGGUGGCAGGGGCCCAGGCACUAGGGCCAUCCUCCACUGCUUUUCCCAGGCCAUUAGCUGGGAGCUGGACCAGAGAAGUGGAGCAGCCAGGACUCAAACCAGUGCCCAUGUGAGAUGCCAGCAUCACAGGUGGCAGCUUUACCUGCUAUACCACAAUGUCAGCCCCAAUAAUAAUGUUCUUUGACCCCCAAAUAGUGUUUCUACUUUUUCCCAAUACCCUUAACUUUCUUUCUUUUUUAAAAAGUCAAAUCUAUCUCUCAUUUUCUUUAUUGGCUUUUCUUAUCUUUGCGAUCAUAUUUUGAAGUCCUUUUUUGCUUACCAAUAGCAAUCAAUUGUCUGAACAUAACACAGUGAACACCUCACCUUCUCCAGCUGAUCUGAAAUGCCACUGAUAAGGUACUAAAUGUACAUUUACAUAUGUAGGCUAGGCACUGCUAGAGUCCUGCUCAGGUCAUAGAGCUUCCUUCUGGGAUAUUCUGCUUUGGUUCAUAACAAUUCAUCGUAUAUACGGGCGCUUCAAAAAUUGGUGGAAAGUGGAAUUAAAUGAUAAGUUUUUGAGGUACAAAAAGUGUUGACAUCCACAUAGUUUUUCUUAGUAUGUAUCCUCCAUUAAUGUUUUCAAGCACCUUUGUACUGACACGUGUAUAAUGUGAUGCUAUGGCGUUCUUCAUCAUCAACUGUGGCCAUCAACUGAGUUCUUCACGUAGCUACUAUACUCACUUGAUUAUGUCCCAAACUCAAAAAAAAAAAAUCCUAUUGGCUUGACUUUAAGCUCCUUAAGGAAGUCUGACACUUCCACAGGCUGGCGCUUCCCACCCAAGAACAGGAGUUCUUUCUCCAUUUUUCUUUUACUGGGCUCAGCAAAAUGUUGUGCUUUGUUUCUGUAAAAGUCUUGCACACUCCCGGCCACUUUAUAGUUUCUGCUGUUACUGUGAAAAGGAUAUUCUCCAUCACACGUUCUAACCAGCCACAGCUGGCACCUGAUAGGGUUUUUAUGAGAAACACCAGUGAUUCUUUGAAAACUCUCAACAGGCAUGCACUGUUCCACCUUUAUCAUCACCUGGGCAUUCGGAUUUCCUUACUGACCAUUUGUAGACAAGCGGGGAGAGUCCACAUUCCACACAAGCAGCCUUGAUCCUGAGUGUGCAUCCAGCGUGAUCAAAAGAAUGAAUGUCCAUGUAGCGCUUAAUGCAUUUUAAGCAGACAGGAUUGUCCAGAGUAGCAGAGUCAUUAUUUGUUCAUCUUAAGGAUGGGAGAACCGAGAUUCAGGUCUGACUUUUUGGCCUGGAGAACUUGAUUAAAAAAAAAAAAAAUGCAAACUUGGGGCCCACCCAGAAAGGCUUCUUCAGAA